rnacentral:rRNA from 1 species
GGCAAGUGGCGGCGUGCUAUACAUGCAGUCGAGCGGACAGAUGGGAGCUUGCUCCCUGAUGUUAGCGGCGGACGGGUGAGUAACACGUGGGUAACCUGCCUGUAAGACUGGGAUAACUCCGGGAAACCGGGGCUAAUACCGGAUGCUUGUUUGAACCGCAUGGUUCAAACAUAAAAGGUUGCUUCGGCUACCACUUACAGAUGGACCCGCGGCGCAUUAGCUAGUUGGUGAGGUUACCGCUCACCA